GAUGAAGAACGUAGCGAAAUGCGAUAAGUAAUGUGAAUUGCAGAAUUCAGUGAAUCAUCGAGUCUUUGAACGCACAUUGCGCCCCCUGGUAUUCCGGGGGGCAUGCCUGUCCGAGCGUCAUUGCUGCCCUCAAGCACGGCUUGUGUGUUGGGCCCCCGUCCCCGGUUUCCCCCGGGGACGGGCCCGAAAGGCAGCGGCGGCACCGCGUCCGGUCCUCGAGCGUAUGGGGCUUUGUCACCCGCUCUGUAGGCCCGGCCGGCGCCAGCCGACACCCAACUUUAUUUCUAAGGUUGACCUCGGAUCAGGUAGGGAUACCCGCUGAACUUAAGCAUAUCAAUAAGCGAGGA
rnacentral:misc_RNA from 1 species